rnacentral:rRNA from 1 species
UACGUAGGGUGCAAGCGUUGUCCGGAUUUAUUGGGCGUAAAGAGCUCGUAGGCGGUCUGUCGCGUCGGAUGUGAAAACCCAGGGCUCAACCCUGGGCCUGCAUUCGAUACGGGCAGACUAGAGUGUGGCAGGGGAGACUGGAAUUCCUGGUGUAGCGGUGAAAUGCGCAGAUAUCAGGAGGAACACCGGUGGCGAAGGCGGGUCUCUGGGCCAAUACUGACGCUGAGGAGCGAAAGCGUGGGGAGCAAACAGG